GUCGCGUGGAUUUUUCUUCGGGUCCCCACGGUUUAAUUCCCCCACAUUUAGAUUUGCCACGCGUUUAGAGAAUUGUUUUCCUGUUACAAAUUUCCACCUGAUAAGUCACUCGGUCGAGCUGGCCGUUUGUGAUGGCCAGGUCGCUUAUGAAAAAGAGCUUUACAGCUCAGUGGGCCCUACCUGGUAAAUGAACAAAAAUAGUUUAGUUUUUAGUCUUUGAGAUAUAGACGGACACAUGGGGGUGUCCCCGUGUAUACAGAAUGGGGGUGGCGGGUGGAAGUGGUUGGCGAUUUGUGGGCCCGUUCUGGGAGAGGGGGGGGGGGCGUAACGGUGAAGCGUCAGAUGCGCGGUGCAUUGGCACGUGAGCGCGUGAAAGGGCCCAUGUGUGUGUGUGUGUGACAUGAUGAACGCGCUUUGGCAUUAAACGAGCCUCUCCCACACCUACCUACCCCGCCAUCAAUUCUUCUACUUCCAGCAUAGGCCAUUAUUGUUGCUGUUGUGGAAUCUCAAGCAGCUGCAGGGGUCACGUGAAGCAAUUACAAGCAACGUAAAGGGGUAUCAGGUGGAGACGCAGGUGAAAAUCCUCCGGCACAAUGGGCCACUCAUUCUCACCUGAGUGAGCGGACGGUGCAGCUUUCGCAAGUCGGGGACAUUGGCUGGGACACUGCAAGCUCUCUCUCUCUCUCCGUUGUUACGUUGAGGACCCACGCAUCACGACUCUUCUGCCAUUCCAGCAUCACAAAAAUCUUCCCAAGGGUGAACCCAGUAAAAAAGUGUCGUGCACGUGUGUGUAUUGUCUGUGCACAUGGCUGGCUUCAGUUUCAUUUUUUUUGGUUCAGUUU